GACGGGGGGUGCAAGCGUUGUUCGGAAUCAUUGGGCGUAAAGCGCGUGCAGGUGGCUUUGCAAGUCAGAUGUGAAAGCCCAGGGCUUAACCCUGGAAGUGCAUUUGAAACUGCUCAGCUUGAGUAUGGAAGAGGGUCGUGGAAUUCCAGGUGUAGUGGUGAAAUACGUAGAUAUCUGGAGGAACACCGGUGGCGAAGGCGGCGACCUGGUCCAAUACUGACACUCAUACGCGGAAGCGUGGGGAUCAAACAGG
rnacentral:rRNA from 1 species